UUUUUACGCCUCAAACUUUCGUUUUCGGGCAUUUCGUCCAGACUUAAGUUCACAACACCUCACC
rfam:Shigella dysenteriae Sd197, complete genome.